CAGUCCCCAGCUCCUUCCUGCAUUGCGGAGAAAGUGCGGCCCCGGGACCCCCGCGGGCCGGCCUAGGGCACGGCGUCAGCCUCUGCAGCGUGUUUCUGCCUGGUGUGUGGGUGAGGGAAACCUAAGUCUGCCAGGAAAUCGCCUUAUUGUCACCUCGCACUCUUAUCCUCAAUGAAAGAAGUUUGAAGAUUGAGUGUCCUACAAGGUGAUUUUCCUGCAUGGAUUGGGAGAUACUGGAGACAAGGGCUCUCUCUGUUGCCCAGGCUGGAGUGCAGUUGCAGGAUCUUAGCUCACUGCAUCUUUGAACUCCUGGGCUCAAGUGAUCCUUCAGCCUCAGCCUCUCAAAGCACAGAGAUUAGAGGCACGGAUGGGCAGAAGCCUUUGCAGGUAUCAGAAGUUCACAUAUCAAAUAUAUCUGCCCGCAUGCGCCUGUUAGGCCUGUUACAUUAAAUAUGAACAUGGCUAUGCCUUCAUGGUUUGAUAUUAUUGGGCUUUCACCAGAUUCACAGGAGGAUGAAUCUGGGAUUAAACAGGCAGCAGAAAAUAUAAAAGCUUUGAUUGAUCAAGAAGUGAAGAAU
rnacentral:sRNA from 1 species